rnacentral:rRNA from 1 species
GACGAACGCUGGCGGCGUGCUUAACACAUGCAAGUCGAACGGAAAGGCCCUGCUUUUGUGGGGUGCUCGAGUGGCGAACGGGUGAGUAACACGUGAGUAACCUGCCCUUGACUUUGGGAUAACUUCAGGAAACUGGGGCUAAUACCGGAUAGGAGCUCCUGCUGCAUGGUGGGGGUUGGAAAGUUUCGGCGGUUGGGGAUGGACUCGCGGCUUAUCAGCUUGUUGGUGGGGUAGUGGCUUACCAAGGCUUUGACGGGUAGCCGGCCUGAGAGGGUGACCAGCCACAUUGGGACUGAGAUACGGCCCGGACUCCUACGGGAGGCAGCAGUGGAGAAUAUUGCACAAUGGGCGGAAGCCUGAUGCAGCAACGCCGCGUGCGGGAUGACGGCCUUCGUGUUGUAAACCGCUUUCGCCUGUGACGAAGCGUGAGUGACGGUAAUGGGUAAAGAAGCACCGGCUAAGUACGUG